rnacentral:rRNA from 1 species
UACACUCCUACGGGAGGCAGCAGUGGGGAAUUUUGGACAAUGGGCGAAAGCCUGAUCCAGCAAUGCCGCGUGAGUGAAGAAGGCCUUCGGGUUGUAAAGCUCUUUUGUCAGGGAAGAAACGGUGAGAGCUAAUAUCUUUUGCUAAUGACGGUACCUGAAGAAUAAGCACCGGCUAACUACGUGCCAGCAGCCGCGGUAAUACGUAGGGUGCAAGCGUUAAUCGGAAUUACUGGGCGUAAAGCGUGCGCAGGCGGUUUUGUAAGUCUGAUGUGAAAUCCCCGGGCUCAACCUGGGAAUUGCAUUGGAGACUGCAAGGCUAGAAUCUGGCAGAGGGGGGUAGAAUUCCACGUGUAGCAGUGAAAUGCGUAGAUAUGUGGAGGAACACCGAUGGCGAAGGCAGCCCCCUGGGUCAAGAUUGACGCUCAUGCACGAAAGCGUGGGGAGCAAACAGGAUUAGAUACCCUUGUAGUCCCAUG